rnacentral:rRNA from 1 species
GACGAACGCUGGCGGCGGGCCUAAUACAUGCAAGUAGGACGCAGUUGCGAACGGGUGAGUAACGCCUAGGUAACUGCCUAUCAGAGGGGGAGAACUAUUGGAAACGAUAGCUAAUUCCGCAUAUUAGUAGAUGGACCUGCGUUGGAUUAGCUAGUAGGUGGGGUAAUGGCCUCCCUAGGCGACGAUACAUAGCCGACCCGAGGGGGGGCUCUGCCAACCUGGGACUGGGAACCGGCCCCGACCCCUACGGGAGGCAGCCGUAGGGAAUCAUCGGCAAUGGGGGGAACCCUGACCGAGCAACGCCGCGGGAGUGAAGAAGGUGUUCGGAUCGUAAAGCUCUGUUGUUAAGGAAGCGGUACUUAACCAGAAAGCGACGGCUAACUACGUGCCAGCAGCCGCGGUAAUUC